rnacentral:rRNA from 1 species
AGUGAACGCUGGCGGUAGGCCUAACACAUGCAAGUCGAACGGCAGCACAGUAAGAGCUUGCUCUUACGGGUGGCGAGUGGCGGACGGGUGAGGAAUACAUCGGAAUCUACUUUUUCGUGGGGGAUAACGUAGGGAAACUUACGCUAAUACCGCAUACGACCUACGGGUGAAAGCAGGGGAUCUUCGGACCCUGCGCGAUUGAAUGAGCCGAUGUCGGAUUAGCUAGUUGGCGGGGUAAAGGCCCACCAAGGCCACGAUCCGUAGCUGGUCUGAGAGGAUGAUCAGCCACACUGGAACUGAGACACGGUCCAGACUCCUACGGGAGGCAGCAGUGGGGAAUAUUGGACAAUGGGCGCAAGCCUGAUCCAGCCAUACCGCGUGGGUGAAGAAGGCCUUCGGGUUGUAAAGCCCUUUUGUUGGGAAAGAAAAGCAGCAGGUUAAUACCCCGCUGUUCUGACGGUACCCAAAGAAUAAGCACCGGCUAACUUCGUG